rnacentral:rRNA from 1 species
UGCGUAGGCGGCCGUGUAAGUAUGGUGUGAAAUCUCCCGGCUUAACUGGGAGGGUGCGCUAUAAACUGCGUGGCUAGAGUGUGGGAGAGGAAAGUGGAAUUCCUGGUGUAGCGGUGAAAUGCGUAGAUAUCAGGAGGAACACCGGUGGUGUAAACGGCUUUCUGGACCAUAACUGACGCUGAGGCACGAAAGCGUGGGUAGCAAACAGGAUUAGAUACCCUGGUAGUCCACGCCCUAAACGAUGCAUAUUUGGUGUGGGCCAUUCAUUUGGUCCGUGCCGGAGCUAACGCGUUAAAUAUGCCGCCUGGGGAGUACAGUCGCAAGGCUGAA